rnacentral:rRNA from 1 species
AGUGAACGCUGGCGGUAGGCCUAACACAUGCAAGUCGAACGGCAGCACAGUAAGAGCUUGCUCUUACGGGUGGCGAGUGGCGGACGGGUGAGGAAUACAUCGGAAUCUACUUUUUCGUGGGGGAUAACGUAGGGAAACUUACGCUAAUACCGCAUACGACCUACGGGUGAAAGCAGGGGAUCUUCGGACCUUGCGCGUUUGAAUGAGCCGAUGUCGGAUUAGCUAGUUGGCGGGGUAAAGGCCCACCAAGGCGACGAUCCGUAGCUGGUCUGAGAGGAUGAUCAGCCACACUGGAACUGAGACACGGUCCAGACUCCUACGGGAGGCAGCAGUGGGGAAUAUUGGACAAUGGGCGCAAGCCUGAUCCAGCCAUACCGCGUGGGUGAAGAAGGCCUUCGGGUUGUAAAGCCCUUUUGUUGGGAAAGAAAAGCAGCAGGUUAAUACCCCGCUGUUCUGACGGUACCUAAAGAAUAAGCACCGGCUAACUACGUG